UACGUAGGGUGCGAGCGUUCAAUCGGAAUUACUGGGCGUAAAGCGUGCGCAGGCGGUUCGUUGUGUCCGGCGGUGAAAGCCCCGGGCUUAACCUGGGAAUGGCCGUUGAAACUGGCGAACUGGAGUGUGGCAGAGGGGGUGGAAUUCCGCGUGUAGCAGUGAAAUGCGUAGAGAUGCGGAGGAACACCGAUGGCCGAAGGCCAGCCCCCUGGGCUGACACUGACGCUCGAGGCACGAAAGCGUGGGGAGCAAACAGG
rnacentral:rRNA from 1 species